CAGUAGCCGCGGGAAUACGGAGGGUGCAAGCGUUAAUCGGAAUUACUGGGCGUAAAGCGCACGCAGGCGGUCUGACAAGUCAGAUGUGAAAUCCCCGGGCUUAACCUGGGAACUGCAUUUGAAACUGUCAGGCUGGAGUCUUGUAGAGGGGGGUAGAAUUCCAGGUGUAGCGGUGAAAUGCGUAGAGAUCUGGAGGAAUACCGGUGGCGAAGGCGGCCCCCUGGACAAAGACUGACGCUCAGGUGCGAAAGCGUGGGGAGCAAACAGGAUUAGAGACCCCAGUAGUCCCUGUCUCUUAUAC
rnacentral:rRNA from 1 species